GUGCGGCGAGGCGAGAGCGCAGUCCCCGGCCGGGGUGGGGGGGUGUCUGGCGGGGCGGCGGUGGCUCCGGGCACCACCCUCUGGGGUCGCGGCCUCGGCCGUGGGAAGAGGCUGCCUCUUGGACCCGCGGGAGAGCCCCAGGGAAGGCGCGUGACCCCGAGGUAGCCAGAAUUCCGGCUUAAACACCCUCGGACAGGGAAAGAGGAAGGAGAGGAGUGCUUUUCAAGGAAGAUGAAGGGGCCCGAAGAAGCCGAGCGGGCGGGAUGACAGUGUGACACCGGUGUGUUGUCACUUCUAGUCUCUCCGGGGAUGAGUCCGCCUUCCCUGGACGGUUAGUGGUUUGUGUAUGGAAAUCACCAGGAAAUGAGAAAUGACUGAAGCCCAGUCCCUCCCAGAGACUCUGGCCUAAUAGUCUGGGCUGCGGCACAGGCGCCCCAGGUGUUCUGUGGGGUGGGCAAAGUUGAGGACCUGCUUGGGGUCAGAUAGUCUUGUCUCCCUGUUAGGGUCCACUAGCCCCGAGUGUUUGGAGGAGUGAGAGCUGAGGUUCGCUGCCCUGUUCUUUGCACCUGUUUUCAUUAACUCCUCACCCAGCGGGGUUUUCACUUGUUUUAUUGUGCUUUGAAAUUUCUGAACGUUGUAUACUCCUCACCCAGCGGGGUUUUCACUUGUUUUAUUGUGCUUUGAAAUUUCUGAACGUUGUAUGAAGCGUGAGAGACAUCCCAAAGAAAAGUGUGCACACAGCAUGAGUGAAUUUUGUCCAGAGUGAACACAUCUGUGUAGCCAUCAUGCCCAACAAGAAACAGGUGGUCACCAAUCCCUUGUCCUGUGGCUGUUUCCCCAGGAGGCCAUGCUGGGGAUGAGAGGCCAGGAGAAGGCUCAGUGGGAUUUCCAGGUUGCCAGGCGGGGGGGCUCCCCCCCCAGCUGCCCCCAGCCUCCAGGCCCCCCUCUCCCUGAGAUGAAGAGAUGGGGGUUGCCUGGGUGAACUGCUCUCUCCACUUGGCGCAGGGGGUGUGGACCAGGAGCUGGUCUCCUCAGCACCUUCCCCAGAGCUCUAUUCCAGGGGGCAGGUGGGGGCAGAUACAAGCUGUCCCCACUCCCCCGCCCCGUGCAGAGGCACAGAGCACAGAGUUCAUGUCUGGGGGCACUGCCUUCUGGUGCUGAGGGCUUGGGUGCUGAGCCACCUUCCUGGUAUAUGAGGUGGGGGCCUACGACGUCCUCUGAGGAUUCCAGCACCUAUGCCAGGCCGCGGGGCGCUCCACUGAAUUGCUUUCUUCUGCCCUGCAGCAGCAGCUUGUGGGGUCACCCCCCAAGCCCUGACUGCAGCCUCCCUCUCCAGCAACCCCACCCAAAAUUCCAGAUCCGAGGGGCUGGGGCUGGGGUGGCAGCAGCAGGGGAGGGGUAGGUGGAGGCCCCAAGGCUGACACAGUUUGCCACCAGCUGCCAUUGCUCCGGCAGCUUUUCAGAACUGAUCUCGUUUUUAGAGCAAGUGAGCCCUGGCACAAAUAACCACCUAACUGAAGGGAACACGCCGAAGCCCUCUGGGUGUGUGGGAUCCAAGAGAUGGAAUCACAUUCUUCCUUUUGAAAGGGAGCUCUCCUCCCACACUCUCCGGGGAACACUCCCAGCCUGUGUACAUGCACACGCCAUCUACCGAAGAGAAGACAUUUACAGGCACCUCUGCUGUUUCAAUGGUAAGGCCCUUAAGUGUUACAUUAAUACGUUUCUAUGGAAAGGAAAAAACUUCAAAACAGAAGGAAUUAUAACCAUCAAAGUCAGCACACGCUUAAAACCACUCUACAAAUCAAGAGAAAAUACUGCAUUUUUACUUAUUUGAAAAGCAAAAUAGCCACACUGGCUGAUAAAAAUACCCUCUCACAGAGGAAAAAACCACAUGAAGAGACUACAAACCUCUGAUGGGCACCGUGAGAGCACUCAGGAAACAUCGCAUUUUAUCCCACGGAUAAAACCGAUCAAUAGGCCUCUCUAAUCUACAUGCUGCUUAAAAAAGGCUUUAGGAUCUUCAGCAAAGCCCAUUUUGAUAAAUAGCUUAUUUAAGGAACUAAAUUCUCUCCUGGCAACUCAGUGCCCACUACCCCUCUCUCAGCAAAAUCCAGCACUCCUGAGGUGUCAGGACUGAGCCACACCUGCGUGUUUACUUUUUAAUUAUAAUCUUAAAGUAAAAGUGACACAACA